CACCACACACCUCUCUGUCGUCUCUGACUGUCAGACGGAAUAAAACUCCUGUUUCUCCCGGAGCUGCUGCAGAGCGGCUGUUCCUGCUUUAGCCAGGCCGCUGUAGGACACCGUAGGGCGGGGAAGGAGCGAGGCGGGGAGCCGGUGUUGGAGCGGAUCCCUGGAGCUCUGGUAGCGUCUCCCCCCCCCCCCUCAUGCUGCAUGCUGCGGACCCACAGAUAGAUGUAAGGAAAAACACACCGGCUGCUUUCCUUGGUGCAUUAUAACAACACCGAGAGAAGCUGCAGGAGCCGAUUUAUUUCAGUUUGAGCUGCAGAAAGGAAGAAUGGGUCGCAGAGGAGGAAGAGGAGGAUUUCUCACCAUGUUUCUUUUCUUGUGUCUGAUAUGGACACAGCUGCUGCUGAUCGCAGAAUCGUCUUCUAGUGAUCAUGAGCUUCGUCUCUUCCCUUCUCGUCGCUCCGGUCGUCUUCCUCCACCUCUGCACCCCCAGCACGACUUGAACCCACAGCACGAUGUGGACACCGUGCUAGAGUCCCACCACCUCCACCUCCACCACCAUCAUCACCUUCAUCAGCACCCUGCCAGGUUAGCCAAAGGGAUGCCAGCCGCCCUCUUGGAGUCUCGGUUUCGUCAGGAGCCCGGCGGCCAUCGAACCCUCGACCUGCUGGCACGGCCACAUCACGAGGUGCAGCCGGAGCACGCUGUGGUGUCUGCACGCCAUCUGGUUACCGUGUACCUGGCUGUAGACGUGAGGAGGCUGAACGUCAGUCUUCUUCGGUGGUUUCGGGAAGGUGUAGCGGCGGCGCUGGGCGUUCCUGCAGGACACGUGCACAUCAACCGGCUGAAUGAGAAGAAGAAUGGCAUCGAGCUCUUCGUGUCCUCUGAUAGGCUGGGGAUCUCUGAGCCCCGCCCCGCUGAAGAGGUCAUCCAAUCACUGAACGUCAGGGUCCUUCACCACCACCUGGGACACUUCGGCAUCACAGAAGUCUCAACUGAGAAGAACGUCCUGCAGGGCGAGCAGAGGGAUCACGUGUGGACCAGAGAAGGCUUUUACGCCGUCGUCCUCUUCUUCACCAUCUUCAUCAUCGUCGUCACCUGCUUGAUGGUUUUGUACCGACUUAAGGAGAAGGUUCAGGUUUCUGACAGACAGCUGAAAGCUCCGCCCCCUGACCUCCACCUGUCCCCAGCUGUCCCUCCAGACUCCACCCAGAGGUCAAAGGGCACCAAGGUUGUGACGUCAGGAAGCAUGGUACAAGCUGAGCUCCCUCCAACUGUAGCCACGCCUAUUCCCCAGCAGCAGCCAAUCGUAGCCUGCCACCGCCUCGCUCCUCCUGUCGUCCCUCUGCCCAGCCACGCCCCCUUCCCCAUUGUAAGCAGCGACGACCACGCCCCCCUGGCCAGCGUUGGCCCGGUGACGGCCAAUAACGAGCUUAAGCCCUGCCCCUCCCCGUUCAGGAUGAAACCUGCUGCAGGACUGCAAGAAAGACGUGGCUCUAAUGUCUCUCUGGUGUUGGACAUGUCGGCUCUCGGCUCUGUGGAGCCCCUUAACGUUGCCGUGGUAACCCCCAGAGAGGCAGCCGCCAGGGAAUAUCUGUUGUACGCCGGCCGGCCAUUGACACGACAGCAGCUCCGUGACAUCGUCAACAACACGCACAAGCUGCACGCCGAGUUCGCUGAAAUUCCCAUGAAUUUCAUUGAUCCCAAAGAGCUGGAUAUUCCAAACCACGGACCCAAAAACAGAUACAAGACCAUACUGCCCAACCCUCAUUCCAGAGUCAUCCUGAAGUCGAAGAGCUGCAACGACCUGCUGAGCUCCUACAUCAAUGCCAACUACAUACGGGGUUACCUAGGCGACGAGAAGGCGUUCAUCGCCACUCAGGGUCCCAUGGUGAACACUGUGAACGACUUCUGGCAGAUGGCCUGGCAGGAGGAGUCACCGGUCAUCGUCAUGAUCACCAAACUGAAGGAGAAGAACGAGAAGUGUGUUCUGUAUUGGCCGGAAAAGAGGGGAAUCUAUGGGAAGGUUGAAGUGUUGGUCAACAGCGUCAGAGAGUGCGAACACUACACCACUCGCAGUCUCACACUUAAGUGUGGGAAUCUAACCCGCGUGCUGCAGCAUUACUGGUACACAUCAUGGCCUGACCACAAAACCCCCGACUCAGCGAUGCCGCUGCUGCAGCUCAUGGGCGACGUUGAAACCGACAGACGGGCGGCUGCCGCCAUGGGGCCAGUUAUCGUCCACUGCAGCGCCGGGAUUGGCCGGACAGGCUGCUUCAUCGCCACGACGAUAGGCUGUCGACAGCUGCAGCUGGAGGGAGUGGUGGAUGUUCUGAGCAUCACCUGCCGGCUCAGAGCCGACAGAGGAGGUAUGAUCCAGACAGGUGAGCAGUACGAGUUCGUCCAUCACGCAUUGAGCCUGUACGAGGCCCGCCUAUCUGCAGAAACCGGCCAAUGAGUGCGCACCACCACAGGAUGUGUUGGCUUAAACCUGGAAGUGUGCUAACAUAGCGAGUCCUUAGCAGUUGGUGAGUGGUUCUUCAGAGGAACUCGAAAGACCCGCCCACUUCACUUCUCCAACUGACUGUCGGAUCGUGUCAUUUUUAACUAACCGGACUGUCCUAUUACCUCUUUGGUUGUCAUGGAGACGUAGAAAUAGUUUGACUGAAGUUGAUGGUACAUUGUUCAGUAACACUGUUGUGUUUCUGUCUUUAUAGGAUUUUAAAAUUAUUUUGUAACGUGGUGUUCUUAUAAAAAAAAAGAAGCUAUUGGAAAAUGACUGUUAGCUGGUUGCACCUUUGGUUAAGCUACUAUACCACUGUUGAAGCAACCCUUCCAGCCUAGCUCCCUUUGUGACAUCCGCACUCUGUACGUUACUCCGUGAUUCGGCCACGUUGCAUUCCCUACCCGAACCUUUGGGGAAAAGUCAAAACGUUAAUUUUUUAUCUGUUAUCCAGAGGCGGGUUGUAUCUUCAAAGGUAUUUUCAUGAUCUCACAGAUGUCUUAACUACUAGAAUUUCAUUUUAAACUUCAUGUCAGUAAACUUUCAGCUCAAGUAACCUGAAAUGUUAGCUUGCUAACUAGCCAUCAGAAUCAUUUAGCAAACACAUUCCUUUUUUAUGUUUUUAUAUGCUAACGCUACUUUCUGUUUAACCAGACAGUGUUGAGUAGGUAAACCAAUACCAUGGUUAGCCAGCUAACAAACUGACAUUGUGUUAACACCCAUUUCACUUGUAAUCAAGAGUAAUCGAGUACAACUUUUUGAUCUGAAUGAUUUAUUGUUUGCCCAGAGCAAAACCAACUUUAUAAUCUUUAUUUUCACAGACUGCGCCACUCCGCUCAUUUUCACUGGGCGCACGUUUUGUCCGUAGCUCGGUAACUUACGGAGUGCAGAAGUCACAAAUGGGGCUACCUCCAGCCAUAGAUCACAUGCUAAAAGCUAACAAACCAAUGUUAUGAUAAAUAAGCUCCUGCUAAGCUAAUUCUUGUAGUACAGCAAUCUCAUAGAGGCUAAUUCUAGCUAGAUUUCAGUGUUAAUCCGUAUGCUUUAAUGUCAAUAAAUGGAUGCUAACCUAUAAGCUCAUGCUAUUAUUAGCCCGCUAUGCUAAUGCAAUAUUUUGUUAAACCAAUUAAAUUUAGUAUUCCACUGCUAAACCGUGCUCGUAAAGUAAUAACAAUUUGUUUGUUACAACAGUUAUUUUUAUACUUUUUAACAGCUCCCAUGAAGCUUUUACAGCAGUACUAAGAAUUAUGGGAGCUGUAGUUUACAAAUGCUCACAAAGUAAUUGUUCUUUUAUCUUUUGUUAAACGACCAGUGUGUAAGAUAUAGUGGCAUCUAGUGGUGAGGUUGCAGAUUGCAACCAAUUUAAUGCCCCUCGCCUCACCCUCCCCUUCCAAGCGUGUAGGAGAAACUAUGGUAGCUGCGAAAAACGUGAAUGGCCCUAUCUAGAGCCAGUGUUUGGUUUGUCUGUUCUGGGCUACUGUAGAAACAUGGCGGUCUCCGUGGAAGAGGACCCGCUCCCUAUGUAGAUAAAAACGGCUUAUUCUAUGGUAACAAAAACGCAACAAUUAUUAUUUCCAGUAUUCCCUAAUCUCAGAGGUACACUAAUGAAAACAUACUUGUGAAUAUUUUAUUCCAUUUCUGCCAAUAAAUCCCUCUAAAUGUUACACACUGGUCCUUUUUUAAAACGAUGGUAGUAAUAGAGAUCCAAUUAUCUUAGAAUAUGGACACAACGCCCCCACCAUCAUGUCAAAACUUUUAGAAAGAUGAAAUUUAUAAAACAUAAAGAUUUCAGCGCGUUCAGUCAUAAUUUAUACAUUUGAUCCAUACUUAAAAUUAAUACUGUUGAAAUAUCUUGACAUUUUAGUCAAAGUUUAGUUUUUCAGCACAGGGCCAAAUAGACUUAUUCCUGACGCGACAGAUAUUUAGAACAUUUUGUGCUGCUUGUUCUCAGAGUUUACACUCGAUAUAGUAGUUAACCUUCUUUCUUGCUUUGACAAAUCCCCUGUUGUGUAAUAUGUUGCUUUAUACCAAAAAUGUGAAAUAAUUUAUGUUACAAUGGUGCAGUCAUCUCAUCGAUGUGCUGUUGUAAAUUAUGUUAUCUAGUGAGUACGUUAUUUUGGUGUAUCAAAGUAAUAAUAACUUUAUUUUUAUACUGUUUUUACAUGUUUUUGAUGUGUUUAGCAAUUAUCAGCCCUUUGUCAACUCGCAUGAAAGCUCGCUAUUUGGGUACAAACCUCAUCAUCUCUAAAUCAUCAACUUAACUCCUAGCUUAACAGGAGCUGGACGGAAUUAACAAUUAAUCUUUUCGUUUUUUAUCUGAGUCAGAAAAUUUGAAGUUUGAACAAGCUCAGUAAUUUUGAAACAUUAGAAGGAGGAACAUUAGAACUUGAGAGCUGAACAUGUUUAUAAAUAAAACGUAUUGACUUUGUGUUUCUUCAGAGAAGUUUUCUGAUUACUUUACAUUGACACUGCAUUGAAAAAUGUCAAAAUAGUAACAAGAAAAAAAAAAACACUCAGCCAAAACCAUUUGAGUGCCAGUCCACUGGAGAAAACAUGUCAAGAAAAGGGUGAAAUUCAGUUUUUAUACGCCCAGUAUAACUACAUAUUUUAGACUAAAAUGUGAAACAAAAAUGAAAAUACUGAGGUGGUUUUGUCAAUUCCUGGGGUGUUGAUUUGUUUUAGAGAUCUGAGGUUUCUACAGUAAUGCCAGUAACGAAGAACAUUAACAUAUACAUCUAAUCUGCUCUCUGUGUGAAUGGGAUAACAUUGUGCGGUACAUGUUAAAGUGCUAUUAAACCUAAUGUGGGCAGUUACAUUUCAAUCCAUGGACCACAAACACGGAGAUGUUGCUGCUAAAACUGGGAGCGUUGGGAGUGGACCGUUGACGGACAAUAAACGAGAGAAAUUUUGAAGACUCUUCUUUUUCUAUAUACCAAAUUAUUUUUUCUUUUAUUCUUUUACUUGUGAUACAAUCAGGGGACUUUGGACUCUGCAGCUCUUUGUGUACAUGUCCAACAUGCCUCGUGGGACCAUCAUCAACCCAAUUUUCACUUCAGCCAAUUCAGGAGUUGGAUUGAUUUCAAACUCAAAAUGGUUAAAAACCUCCCAUAUUACAGUGUGAUAGUGAUGUAAUUCCUGUUUGAACUGACUGAAGUGAAAGUGAAUUGAGCCCAGCCUCCAUACCCACUGCAGCAGCGGGUACAACAACACACACUGCCUCUGACGUAGUAUUGUGUAUGUACAGUAGGUGGUGGUUCAUGUCCUGUACUUUGUUGAUGUUGACUGUUGAUGGCGCUUAAAGGGACGCUAGACAUUUUAAAUUUUAGACCGUUGUCAUGCAGUUGUCACAUUGCAGAGAACAAAAUAUUCUAUAUUCACAUUAAUUGAAUUGGAUUCAAUUCUGCUAUUGGUUACCAAUGUAGGAAUUUAACUUUGUGUGUAAGGCUUUACUUUACAGGUCCCAUAGUUUCCACUAAUUUUCCAGAGAGAAAUAAUAUGUAACCGUGUAUUCAUAGGAAGUUUCCUGGAAAGGACUCUGCAAUGUGGAACUAAAAAUAAGGAAAUGGACACAGAGUUUGAUUGGUACACAUGUAAUUAAUACAUUCCGAUCAAUUGUUAGCAUAACCUGGAGACUUUUAGUCAGUGCACAGCAGGUCAGCUGAACAUGCAAAAAUGUGGAAUUCGUCAUCAGGCAAGCAUACAAUUCACCAUAUAUGGAGAAAAAAGUUGCCGAUAAUAAAUGAAUACUUAAAUUUAGUUUGGGUUUAUUGGAGCAGUUCAUUAAAGAAAGGUCCUCUGGACAUUAACAAAUGUUCAUAAACACAACUAAAUAAACUCAACAACUGUUCUUAGUUUGUCUCUAUUUUCCCUGUAAUUAGUACCACAUAACAAAGUUCUUUCCAGGAAACUUACUACAAAUUGUUAUAAAAUUAAGGAUCCAUAAAAAAAAAAAAGCUUUUUAGUGUUGAACCCAAUCGAAGUUGUUCACAGGCACUAAACAAGUUCCCAAGAGUUAUCUUAAGAACAGUCUGUUCUCACUUCAAUCAUUGCCACCUGGAUCAAAACCUUCUGUCACAGUUUUUGACACAUUUGGGGAACUGAAAAAGCUGUUUACCAAACAUGAUACCCGUACCAUAACAGCAGAGCCAUUAAUAAUAUUAGCUAGUGAAAUAACCAAUGUAAGAUCAUGUAAAAGAUAGUUCUUUUGGUAAGUCUAGCAAGUGAGAGAAAAAAAUUAAGCUCAUGUAAAGAUUUGUUGUUCUGCUAACAUUAACUAGUAAAAGAACCAUUUUUAGCUAAUGUAAAAGUUCUUUUGCUAACAUUAGCUAAUGAAAUGACCAGUUUUGGCUAAUGUAAAAGUUUAUUCCUUUGCUGUGUUAGCUAGUGAAAGCACCAGUUUCAGCUCAUGUAAAAGUUCUAGUGCAGUCAAGAGUUUCAAAGCUAUUUUAAAUUAAUGCUCCACAAGACAUUUUUCUGCUGCUAAUUAGCUACUGAGAUAGCCAGCUGAUUUUAGCUAGCUUGCUAAUGUUAGUUGUUUGUUUAGAAGAAGAUAUUGUGGCAUAUUAAUUAAAGAGCUUUUAAUGUUUGUUUCUUCUGCCUUUAAUGAUGACUAAAUAAGAAACAGUUUUAUUAUAAUUUACCAUUUCUGCUGUACAGUAAGUUGUGCAUGUGCAGUAGACGUAAUGCAUCGAUAAAUGCGACAGAAGGUCCUGGUCUGGAAGGGAGGGAUGAUGGGUAGUGUCGGAGUCCAUUAUUACUUACGUAUUCAAAUUACUAGAACUUUAUUUCAAAUGUUUCAAAGAUACCAAAUAUUGCAGUAAGCUUUUAACUUAAUAAAUAUAACAAUUAGGUCACUGACUAACCAGCAGAUUAAUUUAGCAAGAACAUUCAUGUUAAUGCUAACAUGCUAACAAUAGUUUCAGAAAAUUCUACGGUUUGCCAGCUAACAAACUGACUUCAUCUAAACACCCAUUUUAGUUCUAAUCAAGAAUAAUCAGUAGUGAUGAGUUUCAGCACGACAACAAAAUGAUAAUUUUACGACCAUGUUGAGUUAUAACUGUUGUGAAAAAUUAAAACUACCAUAAUAAAAAAUGUUAGCGUCCCUUUAAACUUCUGCUGCGUGGGCAUUACAGCUCAGUCAGAGGACACCUGAUGCUAAUUAGUGUACGUGGUUUUUAACUGUAUUACUAAUCAACUUGAUUGUUGUUAAUAGUCCGGAAACAUUAGCCACUGAGUAGUGCUGUAACCUCUUUUAUCUACUCUAUAUACAUAUAUAUUGUUACCUGUAAUCUGUACAUAAACACUGGAUAAACAAUU